CAUGCCGCGUGCAGGAUGACGGUCCUAUGGAUUGUAAACUGCUUUUGCACAGGAAGAAACACUCGGUCGUGACCGAGCUUGACGGUACUGUGAGAAUAAGGAUCGGCUAACUCCGUGCCAGCAGCCGCGGUAAUACGGAGGAUCCAAGCGUUAUCCGGAAUCAUUGGGUUUAAGGGUCCGUAGGCGGUUUAGUAAGUCAGUGGUGAAAGCCCAUCGCUCAACGGUGGAACGGCCAUUGAUACUGCUAGACUUGAAUUAUUAGGAAGUAACUAGAAUAUGUAGUGUAGCGGUGAAAUGCUUAGAGAUUACAUGGAAUACCAAUUGCGAAGGCAGGUUACUACUAAUGGAUUGACGCUGAUGGACGAAAGCGUGGGUAGCGAACAGGAUUAGAUACCCUGGUAGUCCACGCCGUAAACGAUGGAUACUAGCUGUUGGGUGCAAACUCAGUGGCUAAGCGAAAGUGAUAAGUAUCCCACCUGGGGAGUACGUUCGCAAGAAUGAAACUCAAAGGAAUUGACGGGGGCCCGCACAAGCGGUGGAGCAUGUGGUUUAAUUCGAUGAUACGCGAGGAACCUUACCAAGGCUUAAACGUAGAUUGACCGGUUUGGAAACAGAUCUUUCGCAAGACAAUUUACAAGGUGCUGCAUGGUUGUCGUCAGCUCGUGCCGUGAGGUGUCAGGUUAAGUCCUAUAACGGGCGCAACCCCUGUUGUUAGUUGCCAGCGAGUCAUGUCGGGAACUCUAACGAGACUGCCAGUGCAAACUGUGAGGAAGGUGGGGGAUGACGUCAAAUCAUCACGGCCCUUACGCCUUGGGCUACACACGUGCUACAAUGGCCGGUACAGAGAGCAGCCACUGGGUGACCAGGAGCGAAUCUACAAAACCGGUCACAGUUCGGAUCGGAGUCUGCAACU
rnacentral:rRNA from 1 species